rnacentral:rRNA from 1 species
AGUGAACGCUGGCGGCGUGCCUAAUACAUGCAAGUCGAACGGAGUGGCGCACGGGUGAUUACUAUAUAUCUACUCUGCCCCUUGCUGGAGCACACCAGUUAGAAAUGACUGCUAAUACUCCAUAGAAAGGGAUGAGACUAUAUCGUAUGAGCUAGUCGGUGGGGUACCUGCCGACCGAGGAUAUGACGCGUAACUGGUCUGAGAGGAUGAUCAACAACGUUGGAAGGGAGGCACGGUCCAAACUCCUUCGGGAGUCAGCAAUAGGGAAUAAUAGGCAAUGGGGGAAACCCUGACAGAGCAUCGCCGCGUGAAGUACGACACUCUUCGGAGUGUAAAGUCAUUUUGUUAGGGAAGCGGUACCUGACGAAUAAGCACCGGCUAACUCCGUGCCAGCAGCCGCGGUAAUAC